rnacentral:misc_RNA from 1 species
GAAAUGCGAUAAGUAGUGUGAAUUGCAGAAUUCAGUGAAUCAUCGAAUCUUUGGACGCACAUUGCGCCCUUAGGUAUUCCUUAGGGCAUGCCUGUUCGAGCGUCAUCUAAACCUUCAAGCCCUGCUUGGUGUUGGGUGCCUGUCCCGCCUCCGCGCGCGGACUCACCUCAAAUCCAUUGGCGGCCCCCGCGUCGGCCACGAGCGCAGCAGAAACGCGAACUCGUGAGCCCGUCCGGGCGGCUCCCAGAAGCUACACCCACCCAGUUUGACCUCGGAUCAGGUAGGGAUACCCGCUGAACUUAAGC